AUGCAGACCCAGAGAAGUGCCAGCCCCUUCUGACCUCACGAGGGGGCCGGGGGCCAAGCUUUGUAACGGAUCAGUGCCAUGGGCACUUGGCAAUGGCUGGACUUCAUGGAGCCUUACAAGAUUUGCAUUUGUUUGCUCCUGCCUGAAGCCUGGAGAUCAAAUGGAAUUUAGCCACUGAGCUCUUUUCGAUCGAAACUUCAAACUUCGAGCAUUCCUAGACCCCUGCCCUCAUCUAAGAAUUUGAACUGCACGCCCCAGAGAAGAGGGAAUUGUCAUUCUCCGGGGAGUGCUUUUUGUUGUGUCUGUCUAUCCAGCACAGAGUCCAACAGAGGCAAGACCGCUCGCUGCCCGCCUCGUGCAUGAGGUUUAUUUGUCCUUUGCUCUUGCAUUGAGGAUGAAGCCCUCUCCAGUCCCAGCUUCCAUAGGAGGCCCAGCUGGAGACUCCCCACCUUCGGCAGGCUCGGGGCUUGACCCGUGGGUCCUGUACUCGUCAAAGCAGAACAUCAGUGUCUCCAGGGUUCUGCAGAAACCCCAGAAUAGAAGCUGGUUUUACUUCUCA